AGAGACAGCAGGAGCCACGGUAAUACGUAGGUCCCGAGCGUUGUCCGGAUUUAUUGGGCGUAAAGGGAGCGCAGGCGGUUUAGUAAGUCUGGAGUUAAAGGCAUUGGCUCAACCAAUGUAUGCUUUGGGAACUGUUUGACUUGAGUGCAGAAGGGGAGAGUGGAAUUCCAUGUGUAGCGGAGAAAUGCGUAGAUAUAUGGAGGAACACCGGUGGCGAAAGCGGCUCUCUGGUCUGUCACUGACGCUGAAGAGCGAAAGCGUGGGGAGCGAACAGGAUUAGAUACCCGAGUAGUCCCUGUCUCUUAUACA
rnacentral:rRNA from 1 species